CAGCCACAUCAUAUUGAAACAUUGGUUCCCAUACGAUUACAGAAGUUAAGCAACUUUGAGCCUGGUCAGUAACUAGAUUGGUGACCAUUUAGGAAUACCAAGUU
rnacentral:rRNA from 1 species